UGGGGAAUUUUGGACAAUGGGCGAAAGCCUGAUCCAGCAAUGCCGCGUGUGUGAAGAAGGCCUUCGGGUUGUAAAGCACUUUUGUCCGGAAAGAAAUCCUUGGCUCUAAUACAGUCGGGGGAUGACGGUACCGGAAGAAUAAGCACCGGCUAACUACGUGCCAGCAGCCGCGGUAAUACGUAGGGUGCAAGCGUUAAUCGGAAUUACUGGGCGUAAAGCGUGCGCAGGCGGUUUGCUAAGACCGAUGUGAAAUCCCCGGGCUCAACCUGGGAACUGCAUUGGUGACUGGCAGGCUAGAGUAUGGCAGAGGGGGGUAGAAUUCCACGUGUAGCAGUGAAAUGCGUAGAGAUGUGGAGGAAUACCGAUGGCGAAGGCAGCCCCCUGGGCCAAUACUGACGCUCAUGCACGAAAGCGUGGGGAGCAAACAGGAUUAGAUACCCUGGUAGUCCACGCCCUAAAACGAUGUCAACUAGUUGUUGGGGAUUCAUUUCCUUAGUAACGUAGCUAACGCGUGAAGUUGACCGCCUGGGGAGUACGGUCGCAAAGAUUAAAACUUAAAGGAAUUGACGGGGUCAUAGCUGUUUCCU
rnacentral:rRNA from 1 species